GGUCAAUCUAUGAUUAUUGAAAGUUUAAAAACUAAAUUGAAAUAUGGUAAAAAGUUUAGUGGGUUAAAGUAUAAAUAUGGAAAGUUAAAAUAUAAAAGUCAAAUUUUACUUUCCAUGUGUCACCUAGCUAUUGGAUGAAGAAAUGACCAAGCAAAUUAAAAAGUGGGUUGUCUUCUUCCUUCAUCCACUUUGCCGUAGGUCAUCCAUUUUCAAAGAAGAAGAAAUUUUGCUUUUCUUUCUCCCACCAAAGCCAAGCCAAACCUCACCAAAUCAAUUUCUUUCUUUAACCAACAUUCAUCCUAAGACCUAGAUCUAAAGGAAGAGCCAUAUAGUGAAGGGAUUGAAGAAGAAAAGUUUAGGGUUCCAUAUACACCAAGCUUGAAAAUCAAAGGUGAAGGAACAUCAAAGGGAAAGGAGAUAGCUAGAGAUUAGAAGAGGAAAAGAAAGGAGGAAUUCAAGAAAGGUUGUAGAUAAAAUAGGGCAACAGAAGUUAUCAGAGAUCUACAUCAGAUAUCAAGGCCAUCAUCAUAGCUGGUUUUUUUGAGUCUCUGAGUCAUAGUACAGUUUUAUUUUGGCAUGUACAUAUUAAAGAGAGUGAGUUGUAAAGAUUAUGUAAU